GCCUCCCCAUCUAGACUGUAAGCUCGUUGUGGGCAGAGAAUAUAUCUACCAACCCUGUUGUGUUGUACUCUGCCAAGCGCUUAGUACAGUGCUCUGCACACAGUAAGUGCUCAAUAAAUAUCACCGAUUGAUUGAUUGCCCUACUAGAAAACCAAUACCCACUGAAAGCCAGCCAGUCAAAUGACUGUUCUAGGCUUCCGAGAAGUGGUCACUGUCUGACAAAUCCCCUUUCAGAAGGGGAAACACACGAAAGGGCACAUUGUAUCACAGAAGAUAUCGCCUAAACAAACUUGAUUCUCUGGUGAUUUACUGGCCUGGUAGAAAUCCAGGUAUACUAUUGUUUCUUUCGGUAGGCACUUCAGCAAACCAAGUGAAUAGCCCACCAGAGAAAAGUUGUCACAUUUACUGAUUCAUCAACAUUUUCCCCAGCAGUAGCAGUACCUGUGCCAUCUGUGUUUAGCACUUACAAAGAAACCUCUUUGCAACUGCCAUACAAAUCAGGGGCACUAUCAAGGUCACACUGAAGGGAAUUUCAGGACACCGAGAAGAUGUUCGACUGCAUGACAGUGCACAGGGAUGCAGCACAUCUUGCCAAGACAAGAGGAUCUGAGCUAUCCAGUUGAAAGGUGUUCAGACCUGGAGUUAAAUCUCGCUGAAGAGAAGUCGGAGGGGACAUUUAAAAGAUGACAAGGCAAACAGCACCCGGAGCUUAAUUAAAGUCGAACAUGUAUUGCUCUCUGUGCGUAAACCCCCGUACAUCAUUAUUAGAUGUUGCAAUUCUCCAUCUCCUCCUCCCCUCUGCCCCUCCACAGACUACCACCAGGACUGCAGCGAUUUGAUAUAAUCUUCUCUCGUCCAACCUUCCCCCGAAAACAGCACGAAAACGGCGCACGCCGUAACCUUCAGUCAUCGGACGGGAGAGAACUGCUGGAUCAUCAGGUGACAAGG
rnacentral:lncRNA from 1 species